rnacentral:rRNA from 1 species
UGGUAGAGAAUACUAAGGCGAAGAGAUAAUACUUGUAAAGGAACUCGGCAAACUGUCUUCAUAAGUUAGACGAUAUGAAGAACCACUGAAUGCUAUUACUCCUUAUUGUCUUAUUUAAGGUUAGCCUUAAUAGGAUAGAAAUUUCAUAAGCUUAUCGUAAGUUAAGUUUAUAUAAGGAAGUGUAAACCUCCCCUUUAGUUUUAAGGCCCAAAGGGCAGAAACUUAUUACUUUAGGCUAGGUUGCUUUGUGUAUUGCUAUUUUGUAAUCCAAGGCCUUAAUAGUAUUUAAGUGGUGGCACAGAAUCGGAGGCCCCGACUGUUUACCUAAAACACAGCUUUCUGCGACGAAUAAUAUCUUUGUAUAGAAAGCGAAUUUUGCCCAAUGCCAUUAAUAUAAGGUUGAUAAGCGCACCCUUUCGGGAGCGUAAUUAUUGGCUGAAGUUCUGGUCAAUGGCGGUCUUAUCUAUGAGGAUCCUAAGGUAGCAAAAUUAAUUGUCCAUUAAAUGUGGUCCUGACUGAAUAAAGUAACGAUGGUCUCGCUGUCUCUACAAGUAUCUCAGUGAAAUUGAAUUAGCCGUGCAGAUGCGGUUUAACUUCGGGUAGACGGGAAGACCCU